rnacentral:rRNA from 1 species
AGAGUUUGAUCCUGGCUCAGGAUGAACGCUAGCUACAGGCUUAACACAUGCAAGUCGAGGGGCAUCAGGAAGAAAGCUUGCUUUCUUUGCUGGCGACCGGCGCACGGGUGAGUAACACGUAUCCAACCUGCCCUUUACUCGGGGAUAGCCUUUCGAAAGAAAGAUUAAUACCCGAUAGCAUAAUGAUUCCGCAUGGUUUCAUUAUUAAAGGAUUCCGGUAAAGGAUGGGGAUGCGUUCCAUUAGGUUGUUGGUGAGGUAACGGCCCACCAAGCCUUCGAUGGAUAGGGGUUCUGAGAGGAAGGUCCCCCACAUUGGAACUGAGACACGGUCCAAACUCCUACGGGAGGCAGCAGUGAGGAAUAUUGGUCAAUGGGCGUUAGCCUGAACCAGCCAAGUAGCGUGAAGGAUGAAGGCUCUAUGGGUCGUAAACUUCUUUUAUAUAAGAAUAAAGUGCAGUAUGUAUACUGUUUUGUAUGUAUUAUAUGAAUAAGGAUCGGCUAACUCCGUGCCAGCAGCCGCGGUAAUACGGAGGAUCCGAGCGUUAUCCGGAUUUAUUGGGUUUAAAGGGAGCGUAGGUGGACUGGUAAGUCAGUUGUGAAAGUUUGCGGCUCAACCGUAAAAUUGCAGUUGAUACUGUCAGUCUUGAGUACAGUAGAGGUGGGCGGAAUUCGUGGUGUAGCGGUGAAAUGCUUAGAUAUCACGAAGAACUCCGAUUGCGAAGGCAGCUCACUGGACUGCAACUGACACUGAUGCUCGAAAGUGUGGGUAUCAAACAGGAUUAGAUACCCUGGUAGUCCACACAGUAAACGAUGAAUACUCGCUGUUUGCGAUAUACAGUAAGCGGCCAAGCGAAAGCAUUAAGUAUUCCACCUGGGGAGUACGCCGGCAACGGUGAAACUCAAAGGAAUUGACGGGGGCCCG